AGAUUUGCAUUCCAGUUUGACAGUUACUGCCUCCAGAUCAUCUGAACAUCACUUCACAGAAAGAAGUCAGAACUCCUUUAAAGGAAAAUGUUCCACUUCGCAGGAAUCAUCAACAUGGAUACCAACAAUAGCAUUUAUAAAUCAUUUGCUUUGCUACUAUUUAGACGUAGAAACACAUUUUGUUUGCUUGUGGUGCUUAAAGUGACCCAGGCAAGACAUGUGGAUGAGCCUCGCUCUCUCACUCGUGGCUGCCUUGGCGCUGGGUACAGAGGUCUCGGUCCCUCAGGAUGUGGGCUCACUGGAUACAGCUGAAAAGCCAGCAGACGAGGCAGAUUUCAGCUAUGUUGAUUUAGCUUCCCUGUAUGGAAAUUCCAGACCUCAGAUCUUGAGGGCUCAGUAUGAAUGCUAUCUGAAAAUGAUUCACGAGCCACUUCGCACAGAUGAAGGUGAGGAAGGUCAUCAUUUGGCC